rnacentral:rRNA from 1 species
CUACGGGUGGCUCCAGUGGGGAAUAUUGCACAAUGGAGGAAACUCUGAUGCAGCAACGCCGCGUGGAGGAUGACACUUUUCGGAGCGUAAACUCCUUUUAUAUGGGAAGAAGAUGACGGUACUAUAUGAAUAAGCGCCGGCUAACUCCGUGCCAGCAGCCGGCGGUAAUACGGAGGGCGCAAGCGUUACUCGGAAUCACUGGGCGUAAAGAGCGUGUAGGCGGAUUAAAAAGUCAGAAGUGAAAUCCUAUAGCUUAACUAUAGAACUGCUUCUGAAACUCUUAAUCUAGAAUAUGGGAGAGGUAGAUGGAAUUUCUGGUGUAGGGGUAAAAUCCGUAGAGAUCAGAAGGAAUACCGAUUGCGAAGGCGAUCUACUAGAACAUUAUUGACGCUGAGACGCGAAAGCGUGGGGAGCAAACAGGAUUAGAUACCCUAGUAGUC